rnacentral:tRNA from 1 species
GGCCCCAUGGUCAAGCGGUCAAGACGUAGCCCUCUCACGGCUGAAACUCGGGUUCGAUUCCCGGUGGGGUCACCA